GUUGUUGUGGCCGAGUGGUUAAGGCGAUGGACUUGACAUCCAUGGGGUUGUACCCGCUUAGGUUCAAGUCCUACCAACAACG